rnacentral:rRNA from 1 species
UGGGGAAUAUUGCACAAUGGGCGAAAGCCUGAUGCAGCAACGCCGCGUGAGGGACGACGGCCUUCGGGUUGUAAACCUCUUUAGCAAGGAAGAAGCGAAAGUGACGGUACUUGCAGAAAAAGCGCCGGCUAACUACGUGCCAGCAGCCGCGGUAAUACGUAGGGCGCAAGCGUUAUCCGGAAUUAUUGGGCGUAAAGAGCUCGUAGGCGGUUUGUCGCGUCUGCUGUGAAAACCCGAGGCUCAACCUCGGGCCUGCAGUGGGUACGGGCAGACUAGAGUGCGGUAGGGGAGAUUGGAACUCCUGGUGUAGCGGUGGAAUGCGCAGAUAUCAGGAAGAACACCGAUGGCGAAGGCAGAUCUCUGGGCCGUAACUGACGCUGAGGAGCGAAAGGGUGGGGAGCAAACAGGCUUAGAUACCCUGGUAGUCCACCCGUAAACGUUGGGAACUAGUUGUGGGUCCAUUCCACGGAUUCCGUGACGCAGCUAACGCAUUAAGUUCCCCGCCUGGGGAGUACGGCCGCAAGG